AAUAAGACAAGAAUCUACAGGUCGAGCAAGUCUCGUAAAUUUCACGAUUGCGAGCCACGCUUCACGCAACCGUGUUUGCGUACUUGUGUUUCGAGUUGCGUGGUCGUGCGGAGUUAUAUUUACCAAAUUUAAAUCCGUUCCAACAUGCUGUCAAAAUUAAAUCAAUAUGUCAAUAUGGCUACUGGGUGUAAAAGAUAAAUCUUAUUCUAUCUGUUCUUAAUGAGUUUUAGAUAAUUUUAGUUGUAUUUCUUUGUAAUUUUGUGUUGUACAAAGAUUAAUUUAACAUUUUCUCUGGAAGUAUUAAUUUAGAAAGAUAAUAUGCUUCAUUGGUGUUGUGUUUUGAAGUGUGAAAUGCAAAGUAAUUGUGAUAAAGUCAAGAUAAAGUUCACUUUUAAACUGAACUAAAUAAGGUAUCUGAGAGACAACAAUGGUUAAAUGCAAUACAAUGUACAGGUUUUACUAGCGAAAUGAAAAUUUUCCUGUCCUGUCUGCUGUAAUCAUUUUAUAUCUGGAAAACCAGCCGACUUAAUCGAUAAUAACAAUCUCCAGAUUGGGUUCCUUCAAUAAAUAUGGGCUAUAAACACAAUGAAAUUAGUUCCCCAAAAUCUAAAAUGGAGUGGUAUCAAAGGAGAAUUAAAGGAAAAAAUAUUCAUAUUGAAAUUAUUUAUAAGGCACUGGACUGUCUUAAAUUCUACAAUAAUACUAGAAUCAGCUGAGAGAGUGGUCUACAAAAAACCAGGAAGGAAACGGAAUAUGUGGCUACGAAAGGCAAAAGAAAGGUUUACAAAGCAAAUGUGACACAUUUUUUUGAAAUAUUUAGGAAUAUCAGUAAAUUGCAUUAAAAAAAUGUAUGAAAAGAUUUUGUUCAAUAAAAAUGUUUAUAUUUAUCAAGGAUGUAUUAUUUGGUAUGGCCACAUAUCGUCAGUGAUGUAAUAAUACAUCCUAUCUGUUUUUUCAUGAGUUUUGUAAGAGAGACUAAAAACUUGUCUUAGGGUCACCUCCUGUUUUCAUAUGAUAUUUUUUGACUUGUUUUGUAGUAAAUUAAACUAUCUAUGAACUACAAAACAAGUCAAAACUUACAUAUGAACACAGGAGGUGACCUUAAAACAUGUUUUUCCAUCUCUCAUGAAAAAACAGAUAGGAGGUAU